rnacentral:RNase_P_RNA from 1 species
AUGCGUUGGCGGACGGCCGCUCCGUCUCCCAUGUGUCGAUUUGUCGGCAUGGGGGGGCGGGGAGGAAAGUCCGAGCACGGCAGGACAAGGUGGUGGGUAACGCCCACACGCCCGGACGGUCACGGGCGAUGGAAAGUGCAACAGAGAGCAGACCGCCGAUGGCCUCCCCCGGGAGGAUCAGGCAAGGGUGAAAGGGUGCGGUAAGAGCGCACCGCCCGGGUGGUGACAUCCGGGGCACGGCAAACCCCGCCUCGUGCAAGGUCACGCAGCCGCCGCCUUCUUCGGAAGGACGCCCGGUCCGGGCGGCAGGCGGCGGGUAGACCGCUGGAGCGCGUCGGCAACGGCGCGCGGAGAGAAAUGGCCGUCACCUUCCAUCGCGUUGCGAUGGGGGGUACAGAACUCGGCUUACAGCCAGCGCCGGCCG